CCGUGUUUGCAUUUGUGUGAUGCGGCCACUCACUCACCUGUGUCCGCUGGCUCACACCUGUCCCUUCUUCACUUGCGCACCUGUGUUGCGUGUCCUGUGUCUGCUUGCACAUCUGUGUGAUGUGUCUACUCGCUCACACCUGUCCCGUAUCCUCCACUCACACACCUGUCUUGGUCUGGGACACCUGGGUCCCACUCUCCCCUGCACUCCUCAGGCUGGCGGCAGAGGCCAGAGGAACGGAGUUUUGUGGCUAGAAUCAUUCCGAGCAAGGCAGGGACGUGGUGGUGUGGACUCCACUGCGCCUCCUCCUGCCCACCGAGCCCCGCCUGCCUGGGCCUUGGUGCUUCUGUCGCUGCUCCUGGUCCCCCUGCUGGGGCCCCUCCGCCGCUGGGCUGAGGCUGGAGCCGCUGCCUCCCGCCACCAGAGGGAGGAGGUCAUAAAUAACCCUGGGGCUGCCGUGGAGCAGAGCUGACGGUGACCCCAGACGUCCUGGGGGAGUGCGGGGGCGCCGGGGGCCGCUGCCCCAGCCCGCAUGCCGCCUCUGCCAUCCGGGAGUGCCUGCCCAGGCUCCCCAGCAUUUCUGUUAGAGCGCCUCUCAUCCAUCCCCUCAUCAAUCAGUCAACCAUUGAUUGAGCCCAGAUGUGGUACAGCCCCAGCCAGAGAGGACCCAGAGGUGGGGUGGGGAGGAGAGAGAUGGGGAAGCCAAGUCCGGGGCCACAGGUGCAGCCAGGAGGUGCAGGUGAGCAGCGCUCAGGCCAGCCCAUCAGCCUCAGUCCUGAGUUUACUUCUGGUGAUGGAGGGAGAUAUGCACAAAAGAUCCUGCAGCCCGCAGGUGUGGCACAGCUGACCUCGGGCCAAGGAUGUACAGCUGUGUGUGUGCCUGGCCACCAGCAAGGGCAUGCGUGCUCAGAAGCACAGGUGUGCCCACACCCUGCAUGCCUGUGUGUGGCGCAGCAGCUCCAGACUCACGCGCAUGACACACACACAGCACAGACAGACCCUCCUAUGGCCACAGGGACAACAGUGCAGACAAGAUGUGCACUGCCCUCCAAGGCCGGUGCGCAACACAGACCCAGGACCUGUGGGCACCCGCACCGCACAGACCCGACACACACGAUCCCCAGCCAAGGCGGCCUGCCCAGUGCCAGGGCUCAGUCCUGGUGCUGUUGGACGGAAAGGCUAACCCAGGAGGUGAGGGGUUGUGGUAAAUCAGCUGUGCUCCCUCAGAUGCUCCUGCAGAAGCAGCCAGGACCUCAGGAACGCACCUGCUCCUGCUCAGACAGGAGGAGCUGCUGCGCUGCAACCUGCCUGCGCCUUUGGGUGCCGUGAGCUGGCUGCGUGCCACGUGGUUUCGGGGACGUAAGAAGGUGUCUCCAAGUCCAGUCUGUCCACCGACCUGAACCUUUACCACUGAAAGAAGAAAGGGGUGGGGCCCGAGGGACCCUUCCCUGCGCUCCCAUGGUGUGUAGUCAGGGAUGCUCGUGCAGGCACACACAGCUGGGCUCUGACCGCCGGAUCGCAGGGGUGGUGCUGUGCUCCUCACCUGCCAUGUCACCAGAGUGCUGACACGCACACCGGAGACGGUGCUAGGCCUGGCACAUCCCAGCCAAUUCCUCUGUAAAUGAUGCAGAAGCUGCAGCACCUUGAGGCUAAGCCAAGGGAAGCAAUGGAAUUCUCCAGAGCCCCAAGGAAGCGGGAGGGUCUGUCCCAGUGAACGUACUCGGCCAAUUCCACCCUGUCCUCCCCCUGCCAACGCUGCUGGCCUGCAGCCUGGACCUGGCCUGGGUUGUGGAGGGGAUCAGAGGCUGCAGCGGCUGCCUGCUGGGUGCACGUGGGCCUAGGUGGUCCUCAGCCCUCAGCCCUCAUGGCAGGAGCCCCCGAAGCACUGCUGUGGCACCCUCUCUGACAUCAGGCCAGGGAGACGCUGGGAGCCGGGUGCAGAGCCAGGGCCCAGCACGCAGGCCUUGGGCUCCAGCCCGUCCCCCACAUCUGGAAUGUGCCAGCAGGGCCCUGUAUGAGAGAAGAGCGGAUCCCUACGUGAGUAAGGGUGGAGGGAUGGUGCCUCUGCCAUGGCCACGGUGCCGCCAUCCACAUCAGCUCACUCUCAGCACAGAUCCUGUGUGAAGGCCUCAGGUGCCACGAUCCUCGUUCCAAGGGCCCUAACAGGUCGGGCUCCUGCUGUGCUGGCUCCACAUUGACUAGCUGGUGGGCUUGGCGGGUCUAUGGUCACAGAGAGACCAGAACCCGCAUAACAGGCCCGAUGAGGAUGCCAGGCUGCACUGACCCCCGAGCUUCAGAGGAAAGGGGCACCAGCUGGGAGCCCUGCACAGACAGCCUCAGGUGCAAGAAGCUGGAGCCCAGGACAGCUGGGGAGGGGCGGGGUGUGGUGGCUGGAAGUUGCUGUUCUCAGACCCAGCUCUGAGACCCUCUCCAACUGCAGGGGGAGUCCAGGCUGGACCCCAGAUGUGACUGUGUAUGUGCUGGGAUGGGAGCCCCCUGAGAGCAGGGCUUUUGUUAAUUCACCAACAAUCUCACACGUCUGGCAUGAGACAGGUGCUCAGGCAGUGAAUACCACAUACAGGGGGUCCUCCACUGUGUCCAGGGGAGGGUGGGCCCUGCUCGCAGCCAGACUGGGUAUAGCCCUGGGUGGGCCCUGGGGCUCGCCCAGGACAGCUCAGCCUCCCAGCCCUGGGCAGCCCUGCUGCCUGCCUGCUCCCUCCACUCCUACCACCUGCCCAGGUGGGACUCUGCCUGCCUUCUUGUCCCCGGUGCUUUGUAGGAGUUAGACCACAGGUAUCCUCUUCAUCAGAGGGAGAAGAGCUCACAACCUGGGAGAACUCCAGGCCUGGCCCAGCAAAGAUGUCCUUAUCUUCAGCAGAUGUUGCCCAGUGCAAAGGGAGGCCAGCCUCAGGAGGCACGGACAGUGGCUUGGCAUCCGUCUGAAGGCCCUGCCUGCAGCACGGGAUGCUACAGAGGUCUCCUGUGACAGAGCCUCAUGGGGCAGGCAGGGGUCACAGCUGCUCCUGCGUGAAGAGGCAGAUACAAACCCACGGUGUGGCCUCUGGGGUCCCACAUCCCAGGUAGAGAAUGACCCAGGUCGCUGGCAUCUGUGCCAUCUCUGCUCUCCUGACCACUCAUGGGGGUCCUGGAGAUCCUGACACCAGUGGCCGGGGAGCAGCAGCCCAGGCACAGGUGCCAGUGCACACUCAGAUCCCAUGGUGUGUGCAUACGGCCUUGUCCCGAGGCCUGGGUGCUAUAUGAGGGCCAGGACGCUAACACAGCGGAGGAUACCCACACGUGAGCUGCUCUGGGUUUCCUGGUACCCAAACGGGAUAUGCAGGGUUCCACUGUGCAGUUGCUGUGUAUUUUAGGAUCUCAUCUGCGUGUGCCCCAGCAGGACCACAGCUGUGACCGGCUGCUGCAGAAGGGUCCAGCUCCAGACUGACUUUCUGAGGUCACAGACGGAGCCUCACCCCAUCCAAGGUGAUGUCCUGGACUCCCAGUGUGCUCCCCAGAGAGCAGGGUGAGUGCGUGGCAUUCUUUUGGCGGGCGUGGGCGCCUCUGUGGACCUGGCGUGAGGCUUUUCUGUUUCUGAGUCUCCUGUGGACCAUCUGUCUUCUGUGUGGCUGCUGAGGGAUCACACUGGGGUGACCAUGCAGGUGGCUGAAUGAGAACAGGACCCCCAUGCUGCACAGCCCUGCAUGACCCCGGGGGUGGCCCCAGAAGCGGGUGGGCGAGGCUGGGCGGCAGGGAUUGGCUGAGAUCCUAUGAAGAGCCCAAGGGCAGCGGAAGGCGGCAAUGCCAGGGUCCCUUUCUUCGCCAGGUACCUGGGGCCCAGCCUGGGCGGCAGGAGGGGACUCAGCCCCUCGCCCAGGCAGGAAGGCUCCCAAGCAGAGGCCCCUCCCUUGUGCACUCCCCAGCCCCCACCUGAGGCACUGGGAUUGGGACUAAUAAAACACCCACCUCGCAGAAGACAGCUUUAUCUUGUUGAUCGGAAGUCUGCCAGCCCAAUUUAUGAUGGAACAUAAGAUCUCCAAAUCUGAAUUUAUGCGCUGUAGCGUAACGAGAGGUCAAUGAGAUUAAACGGGGGCUCAGGAGAGGACCAGCGUCAGGCUCACUCGAGGCGCUGCACAGAAAACCCAAGCCAGAGCCCCUGGGCCCAGCCCAGGCAAGACCAGAAAAGGAGGGGCAGGUGGGAGACCAGCCUGGGGCUCCAGGGAAGGCCGCAGGAUGGAGGCAGGAGAGCCAGCUGGCCUGGGGCAACCCUGGGAUGGCUCCCGGAUCCAGGAGAGCAGAGGGGUGAUGAGGGCUCCCUCAGGGCUGGGGAGCCUGCUCCUGGUCUCAGACCCACCCCCCUUCAGCUGCCACACCCUGGGUACUCCUGAUUCUGAGGACAGUUGGGCGCCUGCCCUGAGGCAGGUUUAAGGACAGAGCUCUGACCCUGGCCCAGGGCUGCUUUGGUGCCCAUGAACUCGGCUUCUGGCUCAGAGCAGUUCCCUGCACCCCUUCCUGAGCCCUCUGUCCUCUGGAACCCGUGGGCAGGGUGAGGGACCAGUGCUCUGUCUGGGUGGGGGCCUGGGCGCCCAGCCAGCACACGGCUGAGCUUAGGGCAGACCCUGACUUCAGAAUUUAUACAAAUAAACGCAAUGAAAAGUGCUGGCAGCCUGA